GAGGAAUUCCUAGUAAGCGCGAUUCAUCAAAUCGUGCUGAUUACGUCCCUGCAAAAUGUACACACCGCCCGUCGCUUUUACCGAUUGAGUGUUCAGGUGAGUCUUCUUGAUAGUGUCAAAGCUAAAAAUUAAACAAACCUUAGCACUUAGAGGAAAAAGAAGUCGUAACAAGGUUUCCGUAGGUGAACCUGCGGAAGGAUC
rnacentral:rRNA from 1 species